rnacentral:rRNA from 1 species
UACGGGGGAUGCAAGCGUUAUCCGGAAUCAUUGGGCGUAAAGCGCCUGUAGGUUGUUUAGUAAGUCUGUUGUUAAAGACUAGGGCUUAACCCUAGAGAAGCAAUGGAAACUAUUAAACUAGAGUAUGGCAGGGGUAGAGGGAAUUUCUAGUGUAGCGGUGAAAUGCGUAGAUAUUAGAAAGAACACCAAUGGCGAAAGCACUCUACUGGACCAUUACUGACACUCAGAGGCGAAAGCUAGGGUAGCAAAAGGGAUUAGAUACCCCUGUAGUCCUAGCCGUAAACGAUGGAUACUAGAUGUUGUGUAUUGUACACAGUAUCGUAGCUAACGCGUUAAGUAUCCCGCCUGGGGAGUACGCUCGCAAGGGUG